GUAGGUGGCAAGCGUUGUCCGGAAUUAUUGGGCGUAAAGCGCGCGCAGGCGGUCCUUUAAGUCUGAUGUGAAAGCCCACGGCUCAACCGUGGAGGGUCAUUGGAAACUGGGGGACUUGAGUACAGAAGAGGAAAGCGGAAUUCCAAGUGUAGCGGUGAAAUGCGUAGAGAUUUGGAGGAACACCAGUGGCGAAGGCGGCUUUCUGGUCUGUAACUGACGCUGAGGCGCGAAAGCGUGGGGAGCAAACAGGGAUUAGAUACCCUGGUAGUCCACGCCGUAAACGAUGAGUGCUAAGUGUUAGGGGGUUUCCCGCCCCUUAGUGCUGCAGCCAACGCAUUAAGCACUCCGCCUGGGGAGUACGGCCGCAAGGCUG
rnacentral:rRNA from 1 species